rnacentral:lncRNA from 1 species
CAUUGUGAUCCCAAAUUUUUUGGGAUUACUGAGGGAAGGGGGGGUAGAGAGAGGAGGGAGAUAGAGAAGGAGAGGGAAGAGAGAGAAAUGGUAGAGAGAGGAAGGAGAGGGAGAAGAGGUAGAGAGAUGAGGGAGAUAGAGAAGGGAUGGGGAGAGAGAGAAAAAGGGUAGAGAGAGAGAGGGAGGAAGGCUUAUCAGAAUGAGAGAGAGAAAUGGUAGAGAGAGAGUGAUGGAGUGUAGGGUAAAGAGAGAAUUACUGUAAGGACUAAGGUUUUGGCAGUAUAGCUAAACUCUCUGUUGAUAAUAUUUUUGUGUGUAUUUUAAUUACAAAAGCACUCGUCAAGUUUCGGGAGAAAACGAGUUUGAAUGGAGAAGUUACGCGACUUUU